rnacentral:rRNA from 1 species
UACAGAGGUCUCAAGCGUUGUUCGGAUUCAUUGGGCGUAAAGGGCGCGUAGGCGGCGAGGUAAGUCUGGUGUGAAAUCUAGGAGCUCAACUCCUAAACUGCACUGGAUACUGCUUUGCUUGAGGACUGGAGAGGAGAUUGGAAUUCACGGUGUAGCAGUGAAAUGCGUAGAUAUCGUAAGGAAGACCAGUGGCGAAGGCGGGGUCUCUGGGACAGUUCCUGACGCUGAGGCGCGAAGGCCAGGGGGAGCAAACGGG